AUUGAACGCUGGCGGCAGGCCUAACACAUGCAAGUCGAACGGGUGGCUGGCGGGUGAGUAAUGUCUGGGAAACUGCCUGAUGGAGGGGGAUAACUACUGGAAACGGUAGCUAAUAACGCAUCCCAUCGGAUGUGCCCAGAUGGGAUUAGCUAGUAGGUGGGGUAAAGGCUCACCUAGGCGACGAUCCCGAGCCGGUCUGAGAGGAUGACCAGCCCCACUGGAACGGAGACACGGUCCAGACUCAUACGGGAGGCAGCAGUGGGGAAUAUUGCACAAGGGGCGCAAGCCUGAUGCAGACAUGCCGAGUGGAUGACAAGGUCCUUGGGGUUUUAAAGUACUUGCAGCGGGGAGGCGUUACCCGCAGAAGAAGCACCGGCUAACUCCGUGCCAGCAGCCGCGGUAAUUC
rnacentral:rRNA from 1 species